rnacentral:rRNA from 1 species
GGUGCGUUUCGACGCGCUCGCCUCCGCAAGCGCGCAGUGCGGCCCCCGGAGCGCGCGCACUUCUCCCUCAGUAUAACACCGCGACCCGUCGGAGGAGGGUCGAACGCGUCGUGCGGUUGUCCCGCUUCGUCCCUUCGCGGGGACGGGGCGGAGCCGCGACGUCGCGACCCUCGUCCGACGGUAGAGAACGAGGAACGAGUCCGCCCCGUUUCGACGGGGCGUCCGCGACGCUGCGGCGGCGCUCCCCGCUCGGACUUCGGCGCGCAAGCGUCGCUGGUUCCGGGCGUCGGUAAAGAGCCAGGGCGCCGCGUUCGGCGGCGUCGUCUCGGACGGGACUCGUCCCGGUCGGCGGUGG